GCUGGGAUAGCUCAGUUUGUAGAGCAUGAGACCCUUAAUCUUAGGGUCAUGGGUUUUGAGCCCCACGUUGGGCA